rnacentral:rRNA from 1 species
GACGAACGCUGGCGGCGUGCUUAACACAUGCAAGUCGAACGGAAAGGCCCUGCUUUUGUGGGGUGCUCGAGUGGCGAACGGGUGAGUAACACGUGAGUAACCUGCCCUUGACUUUGGGAUAACUUCAGGAAACUGGGGCUAAUACCGGAUAGGAGCUCCUGCUGCAUGGUGGGGGUUGGAAAGUUUCGGCGGUUGGGGAUGGACUCGCGGCUUAUCAGCUUGUUGGUGGGGUAGUGGCUUACCAAGGCUUUGACGGGUAGCCGGCCUGAGAGGGUGACCGGCCACAUUGGGACUGAGAUACGGACCAGACUCCUACGGGAGGCAGCAGGGGGGAAUAUUGCACAAUGGGCGGAAGCCUGAUGCAGCAACGCCGCGUGCGGGAUGACGGCCUUCGGGUUGUAAACCGCUUUCGCCUGUGACGAAGCGUGAGUGACGGUAAUGGGUAAAGAAGCACCGGCUAACUACGUG